GAUGAACGCUGGCGGCGUGCCUAAUACAUGCAAGUCGAGCGAACAGACGAGGAGCUUGCUCCUUUGACGUUAGCGGCGGACGGGUGAGUAACACGUGGGUAACCUACCUAUAAGACUGGGAUAACUUCGGGAAACCGGAGCUAAUACCGGAUAAUAUUUCGAACCGCAUGGUUCGAUAGUGAAAGAUGGCUUUGCUAUCACUUAUAGAUGGACCUGCGCCGUAUUAGCUAGUUGGUAAGGUAACGGCUUACCAAGGCAACGAUACGUAGCCGACCUGAGAGGGUGAUCGGCCACACUGGAACUGAGCCACGGUCCAGACUCCUACGGGAGGCAGCAGUAGGGAAUCUUCCGCAAUGGGCGAAAGCCUGACGGAGCAACGCCGCGUGAGUGAUGAAGGUCUUCGGAUCGUAAAACUCUGUUAUUAGGGAAGAACAAACGUGUAAGUAACUGUGCACGUCUUGACGGUACCUUAUCAGAAAGCCACGGCUAACUACGUG
rnacentral:rRNA from 1 species